UGUGCCCACUAUUAUUGGAUAUUGUGAAGUUCAUUUUGUUUCUUGUCGUUUUGUCUUGUAAUAAACUAUGCAUGAAUCGAAUAAUCUGUCCAUAUCUAAAAUAAAUUCUUCCGUACCGCUAUUUUCCGACGGAAAUUCAUUGGGAAAAAUAGCUUUAUUACAUAGUAGUGCCGUGUACACAGCUUCACUAAAUAUUUGUGCCGCUAACGAAACAUUUUUGGUAAAAUGAGUCAACUCAAAGUGGCGAUUGUUUAAUUUUGGCACCAAAUUUAGAGGCCUUUUUGAACUUACUGCAAACAUUUUUGAGAUAUCCCCCCAACUUGCUAUUUUUCCAUUAUAUUCAAUGUCACUUUUAUUAAAAUUAUUUCUAACUGAUUUUAAUAAAUGGGGAGGGUCAAAUAUGAUAAAAAUUUGUUCAGACUUGUAAUAAAAAUAUGGCUUUUGGGGGGUUAUAUUUAAACUUUUAAGUAAUCCAACAUUCCGGGGCCCUUGGUCGAAGACAAUUACUUUCGGUAUUAAACCCAUUUCCCAUACUUUUGCGACUGUUUUCUAAAUUAUAUUCUGAGUUUUAUCAGAAUUUCCUGCACUAGACAAAAACCAAUACCCUAAUGUCUGUUUUGCAUUUUUAUUGAUCCAUUUGAUCAUGCAUGUUAACGCAGAUGUCGCGCAUUCCGGCUGCCUUGUAUCUCCGUCAUCAGCCACACCACGAAAUUGAUCCAUAUGUGGAUCAUAGUAUACUUCAUUAUGUAAAUGGAUUUCAUCGAAAACCAGCGAGACUACUUUGUCUUCGACAGCAGAAGUCAAAAAUUUGGCUUUUAACAUGUUUAAUACUUGCAUAUUUACACCGGGGUAAAUAUGAAAUGUUUGUUGAUACGAACGUAAAGUCCGUAUUGUCGGCAAAUAUAAAGACUUCCUCAGAAAUCUGUACGCUUUAGGAGAAUGAUAGUAUAUGGAUAGAGCAAAAUCUUUUAACCUAUCGUCGUACCUUCGUCCAUAUUUACUAACGUUUCUUAGCUUUAUCUAUGAUAAUAUUAACGUCUGCGCAUCAGUGGAAAGAGCCCGUGAUGCUUUUUUUAGCAAUUGUACUUGGUACUUAUGUUUUCUUUCCUUCUCCUUUAGCUGCUUCUGCCUUAAUCUGUUGCACUUGCUGCGUAGAUUGUGUGUAAUAUGUUUAAAUCUUAAAAGUCUCGUGGUUUUUGGCGAAAAACACUGAGACGGUGAUACACGACGCCUACUUGUGAUUGAUGUCGAUGGAGCACAUGUCAUACCUGCAAUACAAAACUUCCAUUUAUAUUUCACUGUACAUGUAGAAAUAUUUUUAUGAAAUUUAUUUUUCUUAUUUUUACAAAUUUUGUAUUACAAAUGCUAUUUAAUGUAUGAUAUAUCUUAAAUCAGAGACCACAACUGUUACAACCAAAAUAAAAAACAGUUCUUUAAAACUUAGGACUGCCUUUCACUUAAAUAAAAAUUAACUGUGCCUUGAUGACAACGGAAAUUUUUCAACACCUAUUACUUUUGGUCUCUGUCUUAAAUAUUAUAUAAUAUUUUAGAAUUGUAGAAUAUUUACGAUGUAAUAAAUCUAGAGACGCGGUAGCGUCUCGGCGCCAAGUACAUGAAAAAUUAUAACCACCGCAUAUGCCUGACGCUGGCGCUACCGCGUAUAUAAUAUAAUACAAUUUAACUCGAUAAAGUUGACUAAAAUCCCAAAUUCAUGAUCAAUGCAUACAUAAUUCACACAGUAUCCAAUGAUAAAUAAAGCACAGGGAAACAGAAAGUAAAUAUAAUGCACACAAAUUCAACGGAAUUGCAAUAUUUGUUUACCAUGAGUUGAGCAGCUAGAUUCCAUAUUGCUUUCCUCUUCCUGUCUUAUGCUCCCCAACAUAUUAAGUAUGCUUGAAACUGUAAUGAGUGACAGAGUGGAUAUAUAAUAGAUUAGUUAUGAAAAUAUUUGAGUCAAAACAGAACUUUUUGUUUCGAUAGUGUUGCUAAUAUAUUGUAGAGUCGAUCCUUUUAUAAUACAAUACAUUCGUUACAUCAAAACCAUAUUCCCAAAGUACCGUGUUAAAGGAGGAUCGACUGUACAAUAAGAACGUAUGCUUCAUGUAUUACAUACCAUUCAUGAUGCUCUCUUCAUUGUCAAGCUUAUUUUUUAAUUGCUUGAAGCAAGGUACACUGUUCAGUCUCAAAAGAGGCCUUGGAUACCUUUUCCAUAUAUCGCUAUCUUUAAAAUGGAGAUUGCAUAUACGUAUGCUCCUAUUUUCUGUGGCAUCAAUGUUUGCAAAUUGGAGCCACUUGUCUCGGCUACAAAGAAUAAAGUCAUCUUUAAUGUUUUUCCCUCACAUUUGUAACAAAUAUUCACAUAAAACAUACUGUGUACUUCCAUAGCAGGAUUUUUCGGUAACGAAAACAAUAUUAUUCCAGCAUCUCCUGCUGUACGCAUGCCGUCUGCCAUGGCACAUUUAUGUGGCAUUUUAUUUAUGUAUGCAAGUUAACUGUUAAGAAAAAAAAUAAUAUAUACAAAUAUGUACAUAUCAUGAGAACACAGCAGCAUACUACAAUUACAUUUUAUCAAAUUAUACAUAUGUAUAAUUUAUUAAAUGUAGCUUUAAGUUAUGUAUAAAAUGCUUCGAAUCGGACGCCGCGAUGAACAGGAAUGUUAGGAAUUUACUAAAAAAACUUAUUUGUUGGCCAUGACCGACGCUCAAAUUUCGAACAAAGGAUAACUCGAAAAUAACGCUCAAAUAAUAUGAAAUACGCGAAAUAAUUUACAAUACUUUUUCAUUGAUUAUUAAAACAUGCAAACAUUAUCUAAAAUAUACUUACGUAUGUAUUAGGAAACAACGCCGAAAUUUACAAAAAACACGACAAAACGCACAACCAUACUCGGUGAUGCACAACAAAAGAAUGGAAACUUCAGCAAAGACGCGUCCCAAAGGUCUUAUUCCCGCGUAUAACGGUAUAAGCACAGAAAAUAUAAUAUAUGUAUAUGUUUGCACUACACGCUCUAAACGAUUCCUUAAAAGUUCGGUUCUGGGAUACUAGAGGGGCUAUAAAUCGUAUACUCAUACCUUCCACUCUAUCUAAUCCUCUUUGGUUAUCCCUUCCUAGACUCUUCGUUUCCGCUUCUGUAGCUUUUCCUAUUUCCUCCCUGUUGCUACUGUACUCUGCCCUUUUCCUUUUCUUUUGAAUGCUGAAUUCUUCAUUUCAUUUCAUUUUUCUUUAUUUAAGUGUUGUCUUGUCAGACAGUUUACACUAUUCCUGUGAAAUACAUAUAUGAUUACAGUGGUGCUUAUUAUCUAAUUUUAAUAAAAUUUAUACAACUUAUUCUAGUUCUGUUUUUCUUACAUUUAUCCUUUUUUGCUGACUUAAUUCUAUCUUCCUAAUGCUAAUCUCCUCUUCCUUACUCUAUCCUUAAAUUUAAAUUUCUUGUAACACACAUAUAUAAUAUAUCCUUUUUUUUCUCCUUAAGAUCUAAAUGCAAUAUAUUUACAACUUCCCCCCCCCCUUUUUUUCCUAUGCCGGGCCUUAAUUGCCCUGUCUUUAAUUCUAUUAUUUCUUAUCGACUAGUUAUUAUUUUACUUUUCACAUUUUUAGUUUCGAUUCGUCCAGAAAGGAAACUAUGGCCUUGUAUACUUUGAGUUUGUCCAUUGCCAACAAAUCAUAUAUACUUCUGCCUGCUUCUUCAAUUUCUCUACCUAUUUUACCAUACAGGUUCAGUCUUUGCAAAUUAUACAGAGAACAUUCAAACAUAGCGUGUUCGAUUGUCUCCUCCCCUUGUUCACAUUCGUAGUUUUUAUCUUCUACUAUCCCUUUCCUGCCCAAGGACUCUUUAAGAUUGUAAUGAUUUGCUCUAAUUCUUGCAAUUGCUCUUAUGGCAUCUCUACUUAAAAUUUUUCUGAAUUUAUAGAACCAUGGUUUGAAUUUACUUUUUUUUUUGAAUUUCCCACAAGUUUUCAAAGUACAAAGUCCCUUUUUCUCUACCCACAUCUUCUACUCUAUUGGAAAAUUGUUCCCAGAUCAUUUCCUUAAUUUUCAAAGCUAAAUCACAGUAUGGGACAAUUCCCUCUAUUUCGUACGCUAUCUCUGUCCGUUUCUUUGCUUUUUCGUCUGCUGUUUCGUUACCAGGGAUUCCCACAUGGGCGGGAAUCCAUCCUAAUAUUAUUUUUUUUAUAUUUUCUGUGCUACAAAUUAAUUUGUAAAUUUUGUCUAUCCAUCCGUUUUCUUUUCCUUUGCAACUGUCCUGCAUUCAUUUAUAAUGUUUUCUAUUGAUACUAACACCGACAUUGAGUCUGACAAAAUUAGAAUAUUUUCCUUUCUGGACUGGAUCGCAACUUUUAACGCAUUAUAGAUAGCAAUUGCUUCCGUCGUAUAAAUUGUCAACGCAGUGUUGAUUGAUAACCCUUUCUUUAUAAAUUCGUUGUUUCUUUGCUCUAUGAUUGAUAACCCAUUAGCCAGAGCGUUGGGGAUUUUAGAUCCGUCUGUAUAUAGUAUUAUAGUGUUGCGAGUCCGUGCGGUUUUAUUUUAAGGACUUAGGGUUUUUUCUGGCGUUCACGCCGCACGUGACAAAAUUAUUAGAACUGCGUGCGACUUAGCCAGGAAUAAGUUAAUUUAAGAUAAAUUAAGAAAUGUAAUAUGAACUUUAUUAUAACUAUUUAAAUAUAACUAAUUUAACACAAAAGUUGAAUUUCUUUACUUUAAAUACAAGCUUUUACAAUAAACGUCUAUACUAGUUAACGGUCGCUAUGCGAGUGAGUAUUAACAAAUUGUUUUAAAUAAAAUGCAAUAAAAAAAAAACGAAAUACCGUAAAUUCAAGAAAUUCGUAGUUGGCGCUAAACUAACUUCAAACAGAAUUGCCAAAUGCAAAGGCUCAUUCACAUUCCAUAACAACGGGCAAACGGGUCUCCGCUGCCAUCUAGGAGUGACAUGAGAAUUAAUUUAUCUCUAUCAAAAGUAGCGAUACGCAACACCUCCCCCCUUAUACAAAAAAAAUUAUUUCCUUUGGAAAUAACUUUUUUCGAUUUAGAGCUCUCAUUCACAUUCUUCUCCACGCAUACAAAUUAUGUAGGGAAAUUAUUAAUAUGACUAUUGGAAUUAUAGGUGGUGGAAUGAAUAAGUUAGUCUUUUAUUUAACUUGACUUUAAAACUUUAUUAUAAGACCACGGAAGAGUACGUCUAUUUAGUUCGGAUGAAGCAGCUCGACUGAAUGCAACACGAGGUCAGUAACGAAGAAUUUCGUUACUGAACCAUAGAUCCUAUCGGUCCCAUACUUAGUUUAAACAAGCCAAGAUGGGACGCAGCUGCACCCUCUUGACUUGUGUCUAGGAAUGAAAUCCAAACGCGCACAGAUGGUUUUUUUGUUACGAGAACUUUCUCUUUCAAAGAAGAGAAAAUCCAACAAUGACGAAUCUUACAUUUAACAAUCUAAAUUAGAAUGAACAAAAAUUUCAAAAAUCUGUCAGGGGUUGUCAGCCACAGCCCGAAAUCUCCUCCUUCUACCAUGAUCACAAGAGCUACUCGAUCCACCCUUGAUCCUACGGCAGUUAGAGGCGAAACGAGGCAUGGAUAACCAAAACCCCUAACACGCAUGUCUACUUUACAUACAUCUUAUGCGGAGGCUUACAUUGAUAACGCAUUAUUGUACAUUAUUCAACAUUAUCAGUAGUACUAUCAAGACUUAUAUGUUACAGAUUAAACUUAAUGAAGACAGAUUACUUACUGUUCAUUAAUAAGUUUAUUUAGAAUAGAGUCCCAAGUAUACAAGUAUUACAAAAUGAAAAGAAAAUUAACGUGAUACAAAAGGUUAAAAACAAAAGAUGCGUUCUUCACGUUACACAUAAAAAAAAAUCACACUUGGACGGACAAACACACCGCGCCAUCUCUUGUACACUCCCCUCCACACGUUCGUCAUAUACUAAUAAUUUCAGAUCGCAACAUUAUACACGCUAACUUAAGUUUAUUGACAUGAACAAUUUUAAAUUUAUUUGCUGAUAAAGCAAUUUCAACAUUUAAAUCGUUUAAUUUUCGAAUUAUUUUAUAAGGGCCAGUCCAAUAAGAAUCAAAUUUCGAUGUUUUAGGUUCCCUUAGCAGGUAUACAUCAUCAUUUAAAUUAAAUUUGUGAGUUUGCAUUUUUGUCAUAAUGUAUUUUACUUUUUUCUUUAGCUCUUUCAAGGUUUUUUUUUUGCUGCCAUUGUCUGAGUAGUAGUGACCCUUGUGAGAAGCUGAUCUAAAUACUGGAUAAAGGUUCGCGGAACUUCCUGCUUUGCAAACUCAGAAGGAAUUACGGCCUUUACACCAAAAACCAAUUCAUGUGGAGUAAAACCUGUGAACUCAUGUACAGAGAGAUCCUAAUGACUGAGGGUGAAAUGCAGUAGAGCCCUAGGACAACCAAAUCUACUGAUAAAUGUUCGGACAAAGCGGCAGCGACAGACACUGAAUCGAUAUUAGUUAAAGGUAAUGGACCCACAAUGUCCAUCUGCACCUUUUCGAACGCGACCUUGGGAGUGUCAGUAAUUCGCAUGGGUUGUCUAGUCUUUGCAGAACGAAUUUUAUUCCUUUGGCAUAUUAAGCAGGGAAGGUCAUGGCAUCACCGACAUUCAAAGAAUACUGUUUGAGUUGAUCAAUGAAAAACUCUCUUCGUGCUAAUAAAUCCUGUCCAGUCUGUGAAAUGUUAUUGCAAUCAAGUGGUAGAAAAUGGACAAAGUUGUCUCUACGCAUAAAAAGAGUCGUUAACGGUUUUUUCACCUGGGAUCCCCUGCGCGGUCUUGGUCGCGAAAAAACUGGAUAUGUGCUGAGCAAUCACUAGAUUCCCCGGGGACCUCUGCCGUGACAUCGUCGUCAACAAUCUACUAGGCAUCACAGCCUCCGCUACAGCACACUCCGAAAAACAACCAGGCUCGUCAGCCUCUGCAACAACAACAGUCGCAAAAACAGGCUCCCCACACCUCUGCCGCGAUCCAAGAUUACGCAAGGCUUGCAUCUCUGGCAGCCUUAUCAGAAACGGACUACCUCCAAUGACAUCGGGAGCGGUUGCCUGGGGCACAGUCAUCCCGUCCAACCGAUCGCCCAAAGAAGGCUCAUCACUAGUCCCCAACCGAGAAGCUGGAUCUUUCACAUUAUGCAGCCAGAUCAACGGCCUAAGAUCCGUAACUAAAGUGAAUUGCUGACUGGCGUUAGAACAACCUAAUCUAUCCGCGGAAAGGUGAAAUUGGUUAGAGUCCGUUUCUCGAGAUGAACGUUGUGCAGGGUUCCUAACCUCGAAAUCCUCUAACUCAACAGGGAGUACAUUUAGGACAAUUUUAUCAGUGGUGGGACUGAAAUUAGGACCUUAGUGCGUGGAGGAAGAUCGAAUGAUGUAAAUGCUGAAGAAGACUGUACCUUUUUUCCAAUUUCAAGACUAUUUCAAGACUAUUUCAAAACUAUUCUCGAGGAAGGAAACCCCAACGAUUCCAGUUUGCUUUAUUGGAAAAUCAUUAUCAACGACUUGGAAGUUAAUGGGGAUUUGAUUAAUAGGGAUAAUAACCUCACCACAAGUUUGAAUCAUUCCCGAACAGAUUCCAUGAUCCAGUGUCUACAAGGAAAUCGGCAUAACCAUCGCAGAAAAAUCCAUAUUCCAGUCGAACUACUAAUGAACUGGGCUCUGAGAAACUUGAACAGUGGGCGAUACAAUGGUAUCUACGCGCACAAUUAAGGGUUUGCCCUGCGAUGCGCUUGUUCGAGGGCCCCUGUUGAAGUUUAAAUCCUGUGAAGACUCUGCGGGGGAAAAUCCGGAUGUCCUGAAUUUAGAAGGCGAGUUUUUAUUAAAACACCGUUCCUCUGUAUGCCCGCUUUUCCUACAAAAUCCACAUUUAAACGUUCUAUGAACAUUUAGCUCCGAAUACGGUUUCUUUUGACUCCUGCAAUACUUACGCAUGUGUCCCAGCUGAUUGCAAUCGAAACACCUGCGAACCGAAGUAUCUACCACACACACUUUUGAAUUAUUGCCAAAUGAUCUUGAAUUUACGGGCAACUUUUGAAACUCGAAUUCUCUCGCUAAUUUUGAUGCAGAAUUUAUCAUGGACUUCGAACUAUCUCCCUGCUCUCUAAUCAUUAGCAUUCUGAUAUUAACAUUAAACAAAUUGACCCCCUCAGAUUGCUGAAAAUCAAAGUUCUCCUUUACCGCCGUGAGUCCCCUAUCCAAAAUUUCAUUAACCCGUGCUCCAUAACCCUCGACACUCGCUACUUUUGAUAGAGAUAAAUUAAUUCCCAUGUCACUCCUAGAUGGCAGCGGAGACCCGUUUGCCUGUAGCAACAGGAUGUUGCGACUAGAGCGCACCAAGCGUUUAACGUGGACACUAAUAGUUCCUAGUUACUUACCAUCCAAGAGUUCUAUAUAUAUAUGUUAUAUGGUAACCAUAUGUUAUAUGGUUUUAUGUAAUAAAGAUGUACAAACAUGA